UACAGGGCUAAUGUCUUGUAAUUGGAAUGAUGGUGACCCAAACCCUCACCAGAGUAGCAAUUGGAGGGCAAGUCUGGUGCCAGCAGCCGCGGUAAUUCCAGCUCCAAUAGCGUAUAUUAAACUUGUUGCAGUUAAAAAGCUCGUAGUUGAAUUUUAGCGUGUUCGAGUUUGCCAUUCGUUUGGCUUUUUCGAGUUCGCUUUUGGGUUUUCCCUUUUUACUUUGAGAAAAUUAGAGUGUUUCAAGCAGACUUUUGUCUUGAAUACUUCAGCAUGGAAUAAUAGAGUAGGACUUUGGUUCUAUUUUGUUGGUUAUUGAA
rnacentral:rRNA from 1 species